rnacentral:rRNA from 1 species
UACGGAGGGUGCAAGCGUUAUCCGGAUUCACUGGGUUUAAAGGGUGCGUAGGUGGCUUUGUAAGUCAGUGGUGAAAUCUUAGAGCUUAACUCUAAAACUGCCAUUGAUACUGCUUAGCUUGAAUCAAGUAGAGGUGGAUGGAAUAUUACAUGUAGCGGUGAAAUGCUUAGAUAUGUAAUAGAACACCGAUUGCGAAGGCAGUUUACUAUGCUUGUAUUGACACUGAGGCACGAAAGCGUGGGGAUCAAACAGG